rnacentral:rRNA from 1 species
CUGGGCUUGACAUGCAUCUCUAAGCGCGUGAAAGCGCGUGACCCUUCGGGGGAUUUGCACAGGUGCUGCAUGGCCGUCGUCAGCUCGUGUCGUGAGAUGUUGGGUUAAGUCCCGCAACGAGCGCAACCCUUGUGACUGGUUGCCAGCGCGUAAUGGCGGGAACUCGAGUCAGACUGCCCAGAUCAACUGGGAGGAAGGUGGGGACGACGUCAGGUCAGUAUGGCCCUUACGCCCAGGGCUGCACACGUACUACAAUGCCCAGUACAAUUGGAACCGAGGCCGCGAGGCGGAGGAAAUCCGAAAAACUGGGCCCAGUUCGGAUUGGAGGCUGCAACUCGCCUCCAUGAAGUUGGAAUCGCUAGUAAUGGCACAUCAGCUACGGUGCCGUGAAUACGUUCCC